rnacentral:lncRNA from 1 species
UCUUUUCUUCAUCACUCUAGAUUUACGACUUAAAACUUCGACGGAUCAUAACUUUUAAUCCGUAACUCCUAUUCUGAAUCCAUAAAGUGCUACGGGUUCGUCUCGAUGUCCUUUUUCUAUCCUAAAAGUUUGAACUAGAUCCAACGGUGAUUUUUAGAUGGCUCGUUUUAGGAGGCUCGGUAUACGAUCAGUACUCGUGGUACGAUUUCGAUUUGUGUAAUAUGUUUCAAAUAUUCUUAUUUGCUAUCAAAUUAGUCGAAAAACAUGAUUUUGAUCUAUUUACGAAAUAUCUCUCUAUUUUAAAGUGAAGCAUGCAUGUCGAUUUGUGAAAUAUGCGGUGUUUAUAUAUAUGUAUGUGUUGGAUCUAUUGUUUGAUUAGUCAUGGAACAUGUGAAUUUCUUGAUUGGUUAUGCCGAAGUAAGGAUGUGACACACGGAGGUAUAGGACAUGAAAGUCAUUAGGUUCCCGUGGGGAUCACUAAAUUGAAGGAUAUCCAAUAAGAAAAGAUUGUGCGAUGUGAUGAAUUGCGUGAAGUGAUGUGUAUACGAUAUACGUAUUUUGUAGCGUGUGUAAAAUGACAUGGCUUUGCGGGCAUAUUACAUUGGUCUACUCACUAAGCGCGUGGUUAUGCUCACCCAUCCAUUUCUGAUAUUUUUUGCAGAGAAGUACUUAGAUUUGAUCGAGCGGGAAAUGGUAGCCGACGAGCCUAAAAGAUAGUGUUUUUGUUUUAUUCUGCUUUGUAACACUCAUUCAUGUCUCGGGAUCGACGUCCGGUGCUUAAAACCCACCGAUGUCGGGACCGGGGUGUGACAGCCUUAGAGAACGAUAGAAGACUUCUCGUGCGAGGUUCCACCGUCAAUGCCUGAGAAGACAUGGCUUCUAUGAGCGUUCACUGUUGGAAUUGAAGCCGAUUGCUUGGUCGGGGGAGCAGAAUGCUCGCCGCCGCUGUGGUCUCAAAGCCUAGGUUUCACGACUUAAGGUUGCUUUGCAUAAGGCGCAUGCGCAGCAUUUUCAUCCUCCUCUUGUCGAAUCAGUAUGCGCUCGUUCAUUCCUUAGAAGUUGGAGAUGACCACCGCGAACGACACCACGUCCUAGCUGGUGACCACACAUAUAGAAGGAUAGAAGGAGUAGUAAAUGGCAUCUUCUCUUCCAACAAGCCUCACCAGGACCUCAUCUAAUAUUGUGGAGGCAUAAUCACCGCCGCCAUCACGUUGUAUUGCUUGAUCAAUUGUUCGGCUAAAGAAAUCCUAGCAGAGUCAAGUCGACAUUUUAUCUUGUGAUGAUAUGAUAUAUUUGAAUUAAGACUACCGAAAACUUGUUGCUACAUUGAAUUGGUAAAAUGGACUUAAUUUUUGGAAAUGGACACUUUUAAUGUGAGAAAUUUUUCAUGGUGGCAUAAAUCCCCAUGCUAAGAUUUUUUUUUUCAACAAUAUGUGAGUAAAAGCCAGAUUUGAUGGUUGUUGUUUUUCAGUUGAAGCUGUUUGCAGGC